GGGGAAUAUUGGGCAAUGGGCGCAAGCCUGACCCAGCAACGCCGCGUGAAGGAAGAAGGCUUUCGGGUUGUAAACUUCUUUUGUCAGGGACGAAACAAAUGACGGUACCUGACGAAUAAGCCACGGCUAACUACGUGCCAGCAGCCGCGGUAAUACGUAGGUGGCAAGCGUUAUCCGGAUUUACUGGGUGUAAAGGGCGUGUAGGCGGGACUGCAAGUCAGAUGUGAAAAUUAUGGGCUCAACCCAUAACCUGCAUUUGAAACUGUGGUUCUUGAGUGAUGGAGAGGCAGGCGGAAUUCCGUGUGUAGCGGUGAAAUGCGUAGAUAUACGGAGGAACACCAGUGGCGAAGGCGGCCUGCUGGACAUUAACUGACGCUGAGGCGCGAAAGCGUGGGGAGCAAAC
rnacentral:rRNA from 1 species